rnacentral:rRNA from 1 species
UAACCAGGGAAUUUGCUAUUGCACCACAUGUGUUUUUCUUUGAAACAAACUUGCUUUGGCGGUGGGCCCAGCCUGCCGCCAGAGGUCUAAACUUACAACCAAUUUUUUAUCAACUUGUCACACCAGAUUAUUACUAAUAGUCAAAACUUUCAACAACGGAUCUCUUGGUUCUCGCAUCGAUGAAGAACGCAGCGAAAUGCGAUACGUAAUAUGAAUUGCAGAUAUUCGUGAAUCAUCGAAUCUUUGAACGCACAUUGCGCCCUCUGGUAUUCCGGAGGGCAUGCCUGUUUGAGCGUCGUUUCUCCCUCAAACCGCUGGGUUUGGUGUUGAGCAAUACGACUUGGGUUUGCUUGAAAGACGGUAGUGGUAAGGCGGGAUCGCUUUGACAAUGGCUUAGGUCUAACCAAAAACAUUGCUUGCGGCGGUAACGUCUACCACGUAUAUCUUCAAACUUUGACCUCAAAUCAGGUAGGACUACCCGCUGAACUUAAGCAUAUCAAUAAGCCGGAGGAA